CCUACGGGGGGCAGCAGUGGGGAAUUUUCCGCAAUGGGCGAAAGCCUGACGGAGCAACGCCGCGUGAGGGAUGAAGGCCUCUGGGCUGUAAACCUCUUUUAUCAAGGAAGAAGAUCUGACGGUACUUGAUGAAUAAGCCACGGCUAAUUCCGUGCCAGCAGCCGCGGUAAUACGGGAGUGGCAAGCGUUAUCCGGAAUUAUUGGGCGUAAAGCGUCCGCAGGCGGUCUUUUAAGUCUGUCGUCAAAGCGUGGAGCUUAACUCCAUUUCUGCGAUGGAAAC
rnacentral:rRNA from 1 species